GAGAUAUUAGUAAAAAUUUUACGUGACUUUGUCGAAGUUAAAUUAUAGGUUAAAGUCCUUUAUAUCUCU
rnacentral:tRNA from 1 species